rnacentral:RNase_P_RNA from 1 species
ACAGAGAGCCGGUCUGCCGCUUUUGUAAAAAAGAGGAAAGUCCGGGCAACACAGAGUACCAUGCUUCCUAACGGGAAGUUGUUCGUGAGGGCAAAGACAAUGUAACAGAAAAUAACCGCCCGUGCAAACGGGUAAGGGUGAAAAGGCGGGGUAAGAGCCCACCGCUCCGGUGGCAACAUCGGGGGUCAGUACAUCUCAUGGGUUGCAAGACCAUGUAUACCGGCGCAUGUAGGGCUGCUCGUCCGAUGCCGGGGGGUAGGUCGCUUGAACUGCCGGGUGACCGGCAGUCUAGAUAAAUGACAGACGCUCCCAUUCGGGAGUACAGAACCCGGCUUACAGGCUCUCUGCUUUA